UAAACGAGAGACGGCGUCGGGCGAACACAAGUUAAAGAGGUGAAUUAAUGUGCGUGAGAGGGAGAGGUGGCCGGAAAAGAAGAGAAGGAGAGCAGAGUCCCCUCUGAGGCCCUCUCUCGCUCUCGCACCCUUCCCCGCUGCCCCCUCGACGAGCACGAGCUGGCCGUACCGCUUCCUCCCGCACCUCCUUCGGGAGGACGAGCGCUCGGCGCGCUGCCUACCGCCGGCGCUGCUCCCGGAGCCCGACCCCCACGCGCUGCUCCACUUCUUCGUCGACACCGACCGGCCCGGCGAGUAGCGGCCGCGCGACGACGUCUUGGAGUAGGUCUACUAGAGGCAGUACAUGCAGCCGGUGGAGCCGCUCGAGCGGGAGCGGCCGCGGAGGUACCGGUCGAGGAAGCGGUGGCAGUGGCCGAAGUCGGAGGACGAACCUUACCGCUCACGUGACCUGUGGGACACGCCGGUUCGUAUGCCUCGGUCCGUUAUGGUGGAGGAGCCGCAGAUGUUCGUCGCCCGCUACCACUAGGAGUGGGACCAGUCGUAGGGCGACCGGCAGCACACCAAGAUGUGGCCGCUCUAGGACGAGGACAAGCCCGUCCUGGGGCUGUAGCGGCGCCUCCGGCCGUGCAUGCGGGCCACCUACUAGGGCCGCUAUAAGCGGAUGCCCGACGACGUCACGGUGCAGGCCAAGGACGUCUGCGUCUUGUAGCACAAGGGGCACUACCGGUCGCGGCCGCGGCGGCGCCGCAAGGUGGAGGAGCAGACGACCGACGAGCACAUGCAGCGGCCCUACCCGUCGUUCCCGCGGCGCGAGUCGUUGCGGUAGAGGAUGACCCAGAUGCACUAGCACGACCGCCACAUGCACGCCCACAGCCCUAGGACGUUCCUCUGCACCUGCCCCAAGAGGUGCCUCCGCAAGGCGCUGCACGAGUCGAAGAAGGCCGAGCGGCAGGGCAGGCGGGAGUACCAGACGAACCUCUACACCAGCAAACUCGAGUAUCACGAGGACAGUCCGGAAGAAGGGUUAGGUUUCGACCUCUGAAGCCACGACAGGUAGUCGGAGUUGUGGCGACGGAAGCAUACCUACUAGGGGAAACCGGAGCCGAGCCGGUAUUCGUGGGCACAGAGUUUGCUCGAGCCUCGCCCCGCCGGGCUGCGACGGGCGGAGCGCCACGCACAGCAGCAGAAGAACCGGUACCGCCUUCCUGACCAGUACCCCAACCACGACUAGACGUAGUCUAUGCAGACCCCCGUACGGAUGUCGCUGCACCUCCUCCAACACUGAAUGCAACGGACCUACUACGAGUAGUAGAGCCAGAGGUUGAAGAAGCUGCCUUAAGUCACGCAGGAAAGUCCCCACCGAUCUCCGACACCUACCGUCUUCUAACCACGAACCUAGUUAGAACCACGGAUGAUAUAACAGCCGUAGGGGAGCCGGAUGGAGUAUCGGAAGCAGAACGUUCAGCCGCCCUGCCCUGAAACCGACCCGUAGUAGACACCGGACUACCACGUUCAGGACGACGAGUACCGGUAGUGCUAUACGUGUCUGACCCUAUUUCUCCGCCUAUUCCGUUUCCUGUCCCAUAAGUCAAGAAGAGAGGGUUGUCUAAAGCGUUGACUUCUGUCACGUUAGAUCUCAAGAUCUGAUGAUUCGUUUGUUCGAUCCUUUCCUUCUACUGCGUUAAGGUAGGUCGAACCACUUCCUGUUCUUCUUUUUGUACCCCCUCACCAGAGUACUACUUUGACGGAGGUCGAUGAUGAUGAUAACGCUGGGGUCGGUCUUGGUUUGGGUGGUGUCUUAAAUUGUAUAACAUAGUAAACAUACCGUGACUCGUCAUCUUGAUUAUUAACUUUUUGUAAGUCCUAUUCAAUGGUAGUUC
rnacentral:rRNA from 1 species